rnacentral:misc_RNA from 1 species
CAGAAGGGAAAACAAGGAUAUUGGUGGGCUUAAGAUCACAAUGAACGUAUCCAUUAUUGUGUAUGCAUGAUAACCCUUUAAGAAUCAUGAGUGUAUCGCCUCACAUCACAUUCAUAUAUUUUUCUUCCAUAUUUGUUAAUUAAGUCUAUAAGAUUACCAUCAGAAGCAUACUCCAGUAAUAAGUUAUAAAUUGUCAUAACAUUUUCAUGACUCAAACAGUCCCUGUAGCAUUCAAUAACUCUUUCAGAUCUAAAAAGACUAAGCAAAGUUCUCAAUUCUUUUUGCAGGGAGAGAGAAUUUACUAUGAGG